UACAUGGGGUGCAAACGUUGCUCGGAAUUAUUGGGCGUAAAGGGCGCGUAGGCGGCCCGGUAAGUCAAAGGUGAAAUCCCUCGGCUCAACUGAGGAACUGCCUUUGAAACUGUCGGGCUUGAGGCCGGGAGGGGGUAGCGGAAUUCCCAGUGUAGCGGUGAAAUGCGUAGAUAUUGGGAGGAACACCGGUGGCGAAGGCGGCUACCUGGACCGGUUCUGACGCUGAUGAGCGAAAGCAUGGGGAGCGAACAGG
rnacentral:rRNA from 1 species